AACGAACGCUGGCGGCAUGCCUAACACAUGCAAGUCGAACGAACCCUUCGGGGUUAGUGGCGCACGGGUGCGUAACGCGUGGGAAUCUGCCCUUUGCUUCGGAAUAACUCAGGGAAACUUGUGCUAAUACCGGAUGAUGUCUUCGGACCAAAGAUUUAUCGGCAAGGGAUGAGCCCGCGUAGGAUUAGGUAGUUGGUGGGUAAAGGCCUACCAAGCCGACGAUCCUUAGCUGGUCUGAGAGGAUGAUCAGCCACACUGGGACUGAGACACGGCCCAGACUCCUACGGGAGGCAGCAGUGGGGAAUAUUGGACAAUGGGCGCAAGCCUGAUCCAGCAAUGCCGCGUGAGUGAUGAAGGCCCUCGGGUCGUAAAGCUCUUUUACCAGGGAUGAUAAUGACAGUACCUGGAGAAUAAGCUCCGGCUAACUCCGUG
rnacentral:rRNA from 1 species